AGGUCUGUGAUGCCCUUAGAUGUUYUGGCCCGCACGCGCGCUACACUGAUGCAUUCAACGAGCCUAUCCUUGACCGACAGGUCCGGGUAAUCUGUGAAACUGCAUCGUGAUGGGGAUAGAUUAUUGCAAUUAUUAAUCUUCAACGAGGAAUGCCUAGUAAGCGCGAGUCAUCAGCUCGCGUUGAUUACGUCCCUGCCCUUUGUACACACCGCCCGUCGCUCCUACCGAUUGGAUGUGCUGGUGAAGCGUUUGGAUUGGCGGCAGGGGGCGGUUUCCGCGCUCUGCAGCCGAGAAGUUCGUUAAACCCUCCCAUCUAGAGGAAGGAGAAGUCGUAACAAGGUUUGGAGCCUCCCAAAUCAAUGGCCUCUUCCGCAAAAGAAGCCUACCGAAGCCUCAGCCGCCCGAAAGGGUGCCCGCCGCGACUCAGCUGGACAAAAAACAAUGAGCGGGCUUCAAGUGCUAGUCGAACACAAACAAUGUUUUGUAUUCGGCGACACCGUCAAAUUGCGGGGAAACCCAUCCGACUCUCGAACACCAAACGGCUCGCCGACAAGGCGCCCGUGGCCAGGGUAACGACCUUGGGUAUGGUAAAAGCAUCGAGGGGAGAAGCUCUCUUUUAAAACUGAUAGAGAGAGUGGAAGUGGGCGAUCCGCAGCCAAGUCCCAGCCUUUGUUGUUUUGUCAACAAAGGUGAGGGAUGCCGUUCACAGACUACAUGGCGGUGGGUCUUUCAAUAGCAGAAAGGCCUAAGAUAUAGUCGGGCCUCCCUGGCGACAGGGUAGGAAACACCAAACACUACGCAGGAUUAACACUCACCGUUCCGUAGGUGAACCUGCAGAAGGAUCA
rnacentral:rRNA from 1 species